rnacentral:misc_RNA from 1 species
GCUCAAUACCAAGCUCCCGGCUAUAGGCCUGGCACUUUUCAAAAUCUGAGCCAUCACCAAUAAUAUGUAGCUGCCAUUCCCCUGUCGUACGAGCUAAGCCAUCAAAUAAAUCUUUAACUCUUUUCUGCCCUUCAAAUUUAAGACGCCCUACAUAGAGAAAUACAGCGGGUUUAUCGCGCUCAGGCGGCGGCACAAUGAUUGUUUUAAUAGAGACAGGAUUGUAAACGACGCUAAUAUCUUGCUCUGAGAUCCCCCGUGCCACCAUCUGUUCUUUAAUACCACUACUGAUGGCCAGAUGAUAAUCCGCGUACGUUAUAC